rnacentral:rRNA from 1 species
GACGAACGCUGGCGGCGUGCCUAAUACAUGCAAGUUGAGCGAGGAAGAUUGGUGCUUGCACCAAUUUGAAGAGCACCGAACGGGUGAGUAACGCGUGGGGAAUCUGCCUUUGAGCGGGGGACAACAUUUGGAAACGAAUGCUAAUACCGCAUAAUAACUUUAAACAUAAGUUUUAAGUUUUAAAGAUGCAAUUGCAUCACUCAAAGAUGAUCCCGCGUUGUAUUAGCUAGUUGGUGGGGUAAAGGCUCACCAAGGCGAUGAUACAUAGCCGACCUGAGAGGGGGAUCGGCAUAGCUGGUAUGGAGAGACGACCCAACCUCCUAGGGGAGGCAGCCGUAGGGGAUCUUCGGGGAUGGCAGAAAUGCGGAACGUUGAACGAUGCGUGAGUGAAGAAGGUUUUCGGACCGUAAAACUCUGUAAGUAGAGAAGAUUGUUGGUGAGAGUGGAAAGCUCAUAAAGUGACGGUAACUACCCAGAAAGGUACGGCUAACUCCGUG